rnacentral:rRNA from 1 species
UAGGGAAUCUUCCACAAUGGGCGAAAGCCUGAUGGAGCAACGCCGCGUGAGUGAUGAAGGUUUUCGGAUCGUAAAACUCUGUUGUUAGGGAAGAACACCCGAGAGAGGAUCUCGGACUGACGGUACCUAACGAGAAAGCCCCGGCUAACUACGUGCCAGCAGCCGCGGUAAUACGUAGGGGGCAAGCGUUGUCCGGAUUUACUGGGUGUAAAGGGUGCUCAGGCGGAUUUGUAAGUCAGAGGUGAAAUCUUACAGCUUAACUGUGAAACUGCCUGUGAUACUGCAAGCCUAGAGUAUGGAAGAGAGUGAUGGAAUAUCUGGUGUAGCAGUGAAAUGCGUAGAUAUCAGAUAGAACACCAAUGGCGAAGGCAGUCACUUGGUCCAUUACUGACGCUAAAGCACGAAAGCGUGGGUAGCAAACA